AUUGAACGCUGGCGGCAUGCCUAACACAUGCAAGUCGAACGGGGCAGCAAUACCUAGUGGCGGACGGGUGAGGAAUACGUAGGAAUCUGCCCUUAAGUGGGGGAUAACCAGGGGAAACCCUGACUAAUACCGCAUGAUCUCUUCGGAGCAAAGAGGGGGACCGCAAGGCCUCUCGCUUCUGGAUGAGCCUACGUCUGAUUAGCUAGUUGGUAGGGUAAAGGCCUACCAAGGCGACGAUCAGUAACUGGUCUGAGAGGAUGAUCAGUCACACCGGAACUGAGACACGGUCCGGACUCCUACGGGAGGCAGCAGUGGGGAAUAUUGGACAAUGGGCGCAAGCCUGAUCCAGCAAUGCCGCGUGUGUGAAGAAGGCCUUCGGGUUGUAAAGCACUUUAGCCUGGAAAGAAAAAACUUUGGUUAACACCCAAAGUCUUGACGGUACCAGGAGAAUAAGCACCGGCUAACUACGUGCCAGCCGCCGCCGUAAUAC
rnacentral:rRNA from 1 species